CCUUCGGGAGGCAGCAGUGGGGAAUAUUUCACAAUGGGGGCAACCCUGAUGCAGCGACGCCGCGUGAGUGAAGAAGUAUUUCGUUAUGUAAAGCUCUAUCUGCAGGGAAGAAAAUUACGGUACCUGAGUAAGAAUCCCCGUCUAACUACGUUCCAGCAGCCGCGGUACUACGUCGGGGGCAAGCGUUAUCCGGAUUUACUGGGUGUAAAGGGAGCGUAGACGGCAGUGCAAGUCUGUAGUGAAAGGCGGGGGCGCAACCCCCGGACUGCUCUGGAAACUGUACGGCUGGAGUGCAGGAGAGGUAAGUGGAAUUACUAGGGUAGCGGUGAAAUGCGUAGAGAUUAGGAGGAACACCAGUGGCGAAGGCGGCUUACUGGACUGUAACUGACGUGGAGGCUCGAAAGCGUGGGGAGCAAACAGGAUUAGAUACCCCGGUAGUC
rnacentral:rRNA from 1 species